ensembl:lncRNA
GUAUUAGUUUACAGGUUCACAGAAGCUAUUAUACCAUGCAAUGUCUAGCCGAGAUUGCAAAAUAAUUAGCUACAAUGGCUGAUUCUGAUGAUUCCUCUUUCAAGAAGAGCUGGGUGCUGACAUUUAUUUUAAUUUGAUUUUACAUAGGAACAUACAGCCCUAUUUAUUUGAACUGGAAUACGCUGAGGAGGAGUUGAGACACCGCAAAACAAUUAUUGUGAGAACAGCAAGCAGUGGGGACAGCCUAGACAAGGACUCAGCAGGGCAAAUGACAAACAAGUGGACCAUCCUCUCGCACACUUUCUUCACCACUCACUGCUUCGACCUCUUGCAGAAGAUUUGUUUGUCCUGCAAGUCUUCUGGAAAGACAUGAAGACUGAGGAUGUGUAAUACAUGAAGACUGAUCAUGAGGAUGUGUAACCAUACAAUAAAC